rnacentral:lncRNA from 1 species
UAAGAAGGGUUAUGGUUGCCUUGAGAUGGUCCUCCAUGACUCUGUUGUUGGCUCAUACCAAGUAUCUGGCUGCCUUGAGAGGGUGGAGCUUGAGUCUGUUGGUGGUUAAAAGAAGGGGUUUGGCUGCUUUGUGGAGAUCCAAAGUUGAGAUUUUGGGAAAAGCUAUCAUAAGGAAAAUUAUUGAGGCUAAAGUAACCGGGACCACCACCAUAUGGAUUUUUAUUUGAAUCCAUAUGAUGCUAGAAAAGAUAUGCUAAGACAGAGAUAGUAGAAGAGAUAUGCUACAAGAUCCAGAACCAGAACAGAAGGGAAAAAGAAGCUAUCAGAGAUAUGAAAGAAGGUUCACACCAGAGAGAUGAUAGAAGGGAAAGAAGAGAGACAUUAAAGAAGGUUCAGACCAGAGAGAUGAUAUAAGGGAAAGAAGAGAGACAUUAUAGAAGGUG